rnacentral:lncRNA from 1 species
CAAGAACAGAUAAUUCAAGAAUCAGGACUAGGGAUCAAAAAGUAAAACCAAGAUCAAGAACUUAAGAAUCGAGAGAGUCAAUAUUCAGGAAUCAAGAUCCGAAACAAAGAUCCAAUAUCAAAGAAGCAUUUCCAAUGAAUUAAGGUAUGUUUUGCACUUAAUAAUUUUUUUUGGUGAUUUAACAUGAAAGAUCUUGGCAAUAAAGUAAUUAGGUUUUCAUGUUAUUAAGAUUUAAAGUUCAUAAAAUUACAACUGAAGGGUCAUUCGAAUUGAACCUGGAUGAAUAGAAUUCAAUCCCAGAUGGUAAAACACAGGUGGGGAAGUUGAGGGGUGGGGGACGGUACAGAGACUGAUCCAAAUGAGGGAACUAAUCAGGAAGAGAUGGCAAGUACAAGAUGCCAGUGCCAUGGUAGCCUUUGUCACCAUCGAGGCUCCGAAUUUCUAGUUUGAGUCUGCACACAGCGAAGUAUUCGAAGUACCGGGCCGUUUGAUCGUCCCCAAAAUACAAAUCUAUGGAGAAUUUAUUCAAAUUGAUGAGAUUUUUUUUACUGGAUUUUGAUGUUCGAAUGAGUCAUUUGUGCAAUGUGAUAGAGAAGAGCAGCAAGAAUUUUCACAACUUUGUGCGUUUUCUGGUGUGUUUAUGUGCGAAAAACUGUCAGCAAGCUGUUUCUA